rnacentral:ncRNA from 1 species
GCGCAAGGGGAUUUUGUUGGUUCCUGCGAAUGCAGGCGAAGAGGGAAUGUGACACGGCCAUCUGGCCCAAGCACAGCCGCCCCCGCGACCGUGACCGGAGAGGUCUCCACGCCACUGGGUAACACCGGGAAGGCCGGAGAACCGCAAAGACCCCGCAGCAAUGCGGCGGCCUUGAGAUCCGCAAGCCGGGAGACCUGCCAACAGACUUAAUCUACG